rnacentral:rRNA from 1 species
UACGAAGGGGGCUAGCGUUGCUCGGAAUUACUGGGCGUAAAGGGAGCGUAGGCGGAUAGUUAAGUCAGAGGUGAAAGCCCAGGGCUCAACCUUGGAAUUGCCUUUGAUACUGGCUAUCUUGAGUAUGGGAGAGGUAAGCGGAACUCCGAGUGUAGAGGUGAAAUUCGUAGAUAUUCGGAAGAACACCAGUGGCGAAGGCGGCUUACUGGCCCAUUACUGACGCUGAGGCUCGAAAGCGUGGGGAGCAAACAGG